rnacentral:rRNA from 1 species
UACGAAGGGGGCUAGCGUUGUUCGGAUUUACUGGGCGUAAAGCGCGUGCAGGCGGGUCGUUAAGUUGGGGGUGAAAUCCCGGAGCUCAACUCCGGAACUGCCUCCAAAACUGGCGACCUGGACCCAAGUAGAGGCAAGUGGAAUUCCGAGUGUAGAGGUGAAAUUCGUAGAUAUUCGGAGGAACACCAGUGGCGAAGGCGACGUGCUGGACUUGUGGUGACGCUGAGACGCGAAAGCGUGGGGAGCAAACAGG